UACGGAGGGUGCGAGCGUUGUCCGGAUUUAUUGGGUUAAAGGGUGCGUAGGUGGCUUUUAAGUCAGUGGUGAAAUACAGCCGCUCAACGGUUGAGGUGCCAUUGAUACUGAAGAGCUUGAAACAAGUGGAGGCUGCCGGAAUGGAUGGUGUAGCGGUGAAAUGCAUAAAUAUCAUCCAGAACACCGAUUGCGAAGGCAGGUGGCUACGUUUGAUUUGACACUGAGGCACGAAAGCAUGGGGAGCAAACAGG
rnacentral:rRNA from 1 species